rnacentral:rRNA from 1 species
GACGAACGCUGGCGGCGUGCUUAACACAUGCAAGUCGAGCGAUGAAGCACCUUCGGGUGUGAAUUAGCGGCGAACGGGUGAGGAACACGUGAAGAAUCUGCCUUCAACUGUGGGAUAACUCCGGGAAACCGGGGCUAGUACCGGAGAUGAGCCUUGAUCGCUUGAUCGCGGCUGGAAAGUCUUUCGGUUGAAGAUGACUCCGCGGCCUAUCAGCUUGUUGGUGAGGUAAUGGCUCACCAAGGCGACGACGGGUAGCCGGCCUGGGAGGGCGACCGGCGACACUGGGACUGAGACACGGCCCAGACUCCUACGGGAGGCAGCAGUGGGGAAUAUUGGGCAAUGGAGGAAACUCUGACCCAGCGACGCCGCGUGAGGGAUGAAGGCCUUCGGGUUGUAAACCUCUUUCAGUAGGGAAGAAGCGAAAGUGACGGUACCUACAGAAGAAGCACCGGCUAACUAUGUGCCAGCCGCCGCCGUAA